CCUACGGGAGGCGGGGACUGCCCCGGGCUCAAUCCUGCGAUACGUGGCGCGGUAUUUCGAGCGCUGGACUUUGGGGACGAGUGCGUCGGAAUCACAGGUGGGUGGCAGGGCUUGCUGUUAUGUGAGACCGAACCCCUCGACCUUGUGCGCGUCGAUGAGAUCAUCGACCGCGGCGGAACAAUCCUGGGAACCUCGCGCACCAAUCCGUUCAAGGAUCCAGCCCUGGUCGAACAGACAAUCGCGAACAUCGGCGCCCUUGGGUUGGACGCAGUCAUCGCCAUCGGGGGCGAUGACACUGUCGGCGUGGCGUCCAAGCUGGCGACGCUGGGCGUGAAGGUUGUGGGGGUCCCGAAGACCAUGGACAAUGAUCUGUCAGGAACCGACUUCACCUUC
rnacentral:rRNA from 1 species